AUGAACCUAAUCACAACUAUUAUAAUAAUCAGCGCCCUCCUUACCACAGUACUUGCAUUUGUCUCAUUCUGACUACCCCAAAUAAACCCAGACCCAGAAAAGCUGUCCCCCUACGAAUGCGGAUUUGAUCCCCUAGGAACUGCUCGCCUGCCUUUCUCACUACGAUUUUUUCUUGUUGCCAUCCUAUUUCUACUCUUCGACCUGGAAAUUGCGCUUCUACUGCCCCUACCCUGAGGAGACCAACUCACCUCCCCCGUCACCACCUUCCUAUGAGCCUCCUCCGUUCUUAUCCUCCUCACACUAGGCCUUAUCUACGAAUGACUUCAAGGAGGUCUAGAAUGGGCAGAAU
rnacentral:tRNA from 1 species